ACCCAUCUGACCAGUUCCAAAUAGGACAAAACUCGAGUUCUGGGU
rnacentral:hammerhead_ribozyme from 1 species